CGUGAGGAUAUGGCUGCCCUUGAGAAGGAUUAUGAGGAGGUUGGUGUGGAUUCUGUUGAAGGAGAGGGUGAAGAAGAAGGAGAAGAAUACUAAUUACCAUUUCUUUCAGCCCUGCAGCAUGCCACACUCAGAACUUUAGCUUCAACAUUAGCUGACAGGCGUUAAAGCUUUCUGGUUAGAUUGUCCUCACUUUUAACUGUGAUCAUGUCUUUUCCGUGUGUACCUGUCGCAUUUUUCCAUCAUGAGAUCCGGAAGAG